AUGGCAGACGAGAAAAGCCGCCACUCAGCAGCUACGGCCGGCCACAUCGUGGUCAACACUGUCACCAAGAUGCCCAUGAUGAGGCUGGACACCUUAAAGUCCUCUCUGGGCCUGAUGACCGAGGCUGUGAAGGUAGCAAUCGAUGUCAGGUACCACCACAUUGUGCCCAUGUGUACCAGAAUGAGCACGAGGUGGGGUUGGCCAUCCAUCAGAAGCUCAUGGAGCAAGUGGUGACACGGAGGGAGCUCUUCGUCAUUAGCAAGGUGUGGUGUCUAUACCAUAAGAAGGGCCUGCUGAAAGCAGCCUGUAAGAAUACACUCAGGACCUGCAGCUGGACUACCUGGAUCUCUACCUUAUUCACUGGCAGACAGGCUUUAAGGCUGGGAAGGAAUUUUUCCCAAUGCACAAAGCAGGCAACAUGAUUCCCAGUGACACAGAUAUUUUGGAUACAUGGACUGCCAUGGAAGAGCUGGCAAAUGAAGGGCUGGUGGCAGUUAUUGACAUCUCCAAUUUCAGCCAUCUCCAGAUGAGGAGGAUUUUAAACAAAUCUGGCUUAAAGUAUAAGCCAGUGGUUAACCAGAUUGAGUGCCACCUAUACUUAACUCAGGAGAAAGUUAGUCUAGUACUGCCUGUCAAAAGGCAUUGUGGUGACUGCCUAUAGCCCUUUGGCUCUCCCGACAGGCCCUGGGCCAAGCCCAAGGACCCAUCCCUCCUGGAGGAUCCCAGGAUCAAGUUGAUUGCAGCCAAGCACAAUAAAACUCCAGCCCAGAUUCUGAUCCAGUUUGCCAUGCAGAGGAACUUGGUGGUAAUCCCCAAGUCUGUGACACCUGAACACAUUGCUGAGAACUUUAAGAAUUUGACUUUGAACUGAGCAGCCAUGAUGUGACCACCCUACUGAGCUACAAAAGAAACUUGAGGGUCUGUGCCUUGGUAAGCUGUGCCUCCCACGAGGAUUACCCCUUCAAUGAGGAGUUUUGAAGCUGUGGAUGCCUGCUCUUCCAAAGUGACCUACACCCAUUUUUCCUGCCUCAUCUUCUUUGCAAAUGUAGUAUGGCCUCAGCCGUGGGAUAGCAACCUGAAGACUGACCAGUGAGGGUUUGUCUAGCUUUAUGCUGGGUCUAAAGAGCAGUAUCAGUAGAGUACAAGGCU